rnacentral:rRNA from 1 species
AGGACGAACGCUGGCGGCGCGCCUAACACAUGCAAGUCGAGCGAGAACCAGGGCUUGCCCUGGGGACAGCGGCGAACGGGUGCGUAACACGUGAGCAACCUGCCCCAAAGACCGGGACAACCCGAGGAAACUCGGACUAAUACCGGAUGCCCUCACCGGGCCGCAUGGUCUGGUGAGGAAAUGGAUUCCGCUUUGGGAUGGGCUCGCGGUCUAUCAGCUUGUUGGUGGGUAACGGCCUACCAAGGCGACGACGGAUAGCUGGUCUGAGAGGACGAUCAGCCACACUGGGACUGAGACACGGCCCAGACUCCUACGGGAGGCAGCAGUGGGGAAUCUUGCGCAAUGGGGGAAACCCUGACGCAGCGACGCCGCGUGCGGGAUGAAGGCCUUCGGGUUGUAAACCGCUUUCAGCAGGGACGAAAUUGACGGUACCUGCAGAAGAAGGCCUGGCCAACUACGUGCCAGCAGCCGCGGUAA